CCAACAGAUGUGGAACCUGCCCUGGGUCAUUUGGCGGUGUGUGUCCAGGGAAAAAAAGAAAAACUCAGGGAGGAGGGUCAUCUGUAAGUCAUUGACUGAGGUUUAGAGACUGUGGCUUAUUCAUUCCUAACCCUAACGUCUAGUCCAAUGACUGGCACAUAUUGCUGAAUACAUGCUUAUUGACUGACUGCAUGAAUCUUACCUAAGGGAAUAGUGAUGCAGGAAUAUGAUGUAGGAAGAUGGCCUUGCAGGAGAAUGACCUUGAACAGAGGCUGACUUUUGCCUCAUCCCAUAUUCAGAUUCUUCUACGUGAGCCAACUGAUGAAGAUUGAAAAAUUCCACACAAUUGAUUAUCUGGAGCCAGGAUGAGGAGACAAAUGAUGCUUUGACUGAAUUCUGCAAGAUCUUUUAAAAUUAAUUCAGUUGCCAGUGGUUUGUGUGUGUAACUGCCAUCUUGGACCCAUGGGGACCAUUCUGAGCCCUAGAUCCAGGCUUUCAGAAGCAAUCUUUUCUAAUUAGAAGAUUUGCAAAGGUCUCCAGAUAAACUUCUUGAUUGACCAAGAUACUCGUGGAAAAUCUCAGUGGACCUAGGCAAACAGAAGGCGUCGAAUCAAGCUAACAAGUGUCCCCUCUGAGCCUGGCUCUGAACGAGGUGUUGCUGAAGAUGCAGAAAAUCAGUGGGCAAUUGUCAAGUGUAGAUUGCCAAUAGCCCUUAAAUAAAAAACAGCCUCGUGUGCACCUUACAAUCUUGACAGUAUACACUCCCAGUGAUAAUGCCAUAUUUGAGAUAGGAAAAGUGUUUGUUUUAUUCAAAUUAAAAUUUAUGAAAUAUUCCAAAUAUGGAAAAAGUAGAGAUUUAUAUCAUAGACACUCAUCUAUUCAUUUUCUUUAUUUAACACAUCUUGAUCUUUCACCAUAGCCUAUUUUUUGUUUUAUUGUUGUUUACCAGCUUUAUUGAAUUACAUUUUAUAUAACAUCAAAUUCACCCAUUUCAAGCGUGCAGUUCAAGAAUUUUAGUAAUUUUACUGAGUGGUACAACCAUCACCAUAAAUCAGUUUU
ensembl:lncRNA